AUGCCGAAGGCAAGGCUAGUGAUUGGAGUGAAGUCAUAACAAGGUAGCCGUACUGGAAGGUGCGGCUGGAUCACCUCCUUU
rnacentral:ncRNA from 1 species